UGCAAGUCGAACGGCGUUUCUAUGGAAGCUUGCUUCCACUGAGAAGAUAGUGGCGAACGGGGUGGAGGUAACAACGUGGGUAACCGUGCCCACUAAGAGGGGGGAGUAACAAUCCGGAAACGGGUAGCUAAUACCGCAUAGUUUUCUUGAUUGCAUGAUUGAGAAAGGAAAGACGGCCUUUGUGCUGUCGCUUAUGGAUGGACCCGCGGCGUAUUAGUUAGUUGGUGAGGUAACGGCUCACCAAGACGAUGAUACGUAGCCGACCUGAGAGGGUGAUCGGCCACAUUGGGACUGAGACACGGCCCAAACUCCUACGGGAGGCAGCAGUAGGGAAUCUUCCGCAAUGGACGAAAGUCUGACGGAGCAACGCCGCGUGAGUGAAGAAAGGUUUUCGGAUCGUAAAACUCUGUUGUCAGAGAAGAACAAGUUGGAGAGUAACUGCUCCAGCCUUGACGGUAUCUGACCAGAAAGCCACGGCUAACUACGUGCCAGCCGCCGC
rnacentral:rRNA from 1 species